AUUGAACGCUGGCGGCAUGCUUUACACAUGCAAGUCGAACGGUAACAGGCCGCAAGGUGCUGACGAGUGGCGAACGGGUGAGUAAUGCAUCGGAACGUGCCCAGUCGUGGGGGAUAACGCAGCGAAAGCUGUGCUAAUACCGCAUACGAUCUAUGGAUGAAAGCGGGGGACCGUAAGGCCUCGCGCGAUUUGAGCGGCCGAUGUCAGAUUAGGUAGUUGGUGGGGUAAAGGCCGACCAAGCCGACGAUCUGUAGCUGGUCUGAGAGGACGACCAGCCACACUGGGACUGAGACACGGCCCAGACUCCUACGGGAGGCAGCAGUGGGGAAUUUUGGACAAUGGGCGCAAGCCUGAUCCAGCAAUGCCGCGUGCAGGAAGAAGGCCUUCGGGUUGUAAACUGCUUUUGUACGGAACGAAACGGUCUGGGUUAAUACCCUGGGCUAAUGACGGUACCGUAAGAAUAAGCACCGACUAACUACGUGCCAGCAGCCGCCGUAACAC
rnacentral:rRNA from 1 species